rnacentral:lncRNA from 1 species
CGGUAACAAUCCUCUUUGAUGAGGGCUAUGCUUGUCAUGUCUGCGCCGCACGGUUUGUUAGGUCUUUCCAGGCCAGAUUCAAGUUUUACUGUUACAACAGACUAGCUCCCUGGCCCCAAGCAGCUCCAGGUACGGGGGGGGGGGGGGGGGGUGGGGGGGGGUGGUGUGGUGGUGGUGUAAGAAUAAUCCCCCCCCCUCACAGGACUGCAUAAUCAACGUGCCGGUUCUCGGGUUCUGCCAGCUAUUUUAGAGCUCUUCUGGAUCUACACAGUCUCCAUCUCCCUAACUUGACAGAAUGCAUGAAUAGGUGUCCAGGGAUGGGCAUUCACAAGUCUACAGGAGGUAAGAGCCUUUGCACCUUCCAUCUGUAGGUCACUGGCUAGGGCUGGGCUGUGGAAACCCAAAACUGUGAUAAUCUUUAUCCACUUAUCUUUAAAGCUAUCAUCACUGGGCCUUUACGGGAUAAGAGUUUGCUCUGGGAUCUGAGUAGAGUAGGAAACCUCAUAGAGUAGUAAUUGAGACAAGUGUCCACAUAAGGGAGGCUGCUCUCUGACAGAGUUGUGUGAUGCCCCUAGUUAAUUGUCUGCAAGCCACACCCCUACGUACUUGCAGGCUGAAACAAAGUAUAGUCUCAGUGAGUUAUUAGUCAAUACACAAAGUUUCCAUGGGAUAACAGUUAUAUCCUGUAUAAGGCACCUCAAGUUUCAGUAUUUACUGGCAUGUAAAAUAGUGGGGAAAGAGUGGGAGACAGGUAGAAAAUUCUAGAAGGACUUUGGCACCAUGGUGAUUUGUAUAAUCAUGAAUAUGAUAAUUAAAAGAAAGCAGCUAAGGUUCUGGAUCUUUUUCUAAUAAAUUAAAGUAACAUUUUUCCUGUCUCCUCUGGGAUCAGCAUCAUCCAGAGAGUGCCACCAAACUAAGAUACAGCUUUCAUGAUCGGCUCUAUGAACCAGAUUAUGAAUGUCUCCGGACAGAGAAUAGAAGAAAGGAAGGAAGAACACUGGUCCCAACAGAUGCUUCACUGGAGCCAACAUCAGCCAAAGGUCAGCUAGCAACCAAUUAACUAGCUCAUUGCAUUCUCCUUGGAAAAACAGAAAGCCACAAAUUACAUGGAGAAUGUUCAAUUUGUU